rnacentral:rRNA from 1 species
UGAGGAAUAUUGGUCAAUGGACGUAAGUCUGAACCAGCCAAGUAGCGUGCAGGACGACGGCCCUAUGGGUUGUAAACUGCUUUUAUACGAGAAUAAUUUGAUGCACGUGUGCGUUAUUGCAUGUAUCGUAUGAAUAAGGACCGGCUAAUUCCGUGCCAGCAGCCGCGGUAAUACGGAAGGUCCAGGCGUUAUCCGGAUUUAUUGGGUUUAAAGGGAGUGUAGGCGGUUUGUUAAGCGUGUUGUGAAAUUUAGGUGCUCAACAUUUAACUUGCAGCGCGAACUGUCAGACUUGAGUACACGCAACGUAUGCGGAAUUCAUGGUGUAGCGGUGAAAUGCUUAGAUAUCAUGAAGAACUCCGAUUGCGAAGGCAGCAUACGGGAGUGUAACUGACGCUUAAGCUCGAAGGUGCGGGUAUCGAACAGGAUUAGAUACCCUGGUAGUCCGCACAGUAAACGAUGGAUGCCCGCUGUUAGCGCCUGGCGUUAGCGGCUAAGCGAAAGCAUUAAGCAUCCCACCUGGGGAGUACGCCGGCAACGGUG